rnacentral:rRNA from 1 species
AGAGUUUGAUCAUGGCUCAGGAUGAACGCUGGCGGUCUGCUUAACACAUGCAAGUCGAACGGUGUCUUCGGACACAGUGGCGGACGGGUGAGUAACGCGUGAGAAUAUGCCUUCAGGUCUGGGACAACAGAGGGAAACCGCUGCUAAUACCGGAUGUGCCGAGCGGUGAAAGCUUUAGUGCCUGAAGAUGAGCUCGCGUCUGAUUAGCUAGUUGGGGGGGUAACGGCCCACCAAGGCGACGAUCAGUAGCUGGUAUGCGAGGAUGAUCAGCCACACUGGGUCUGAGACACGGCCCAGACUGCGACCGGAUGGAGCAGUGGGGAAAUUUCCGCAAUGGGCGCAAGCCUGACUGAGCAAGACCGCGGGGGGGAGGAAGGUCUGUGGAUUGUAAACCCCUUUUCUCAGGGAAGAAUGAUGACGGUACCUGAGGAAUCAGCCUCGGCUAACUCCGUGCCAGCCGCCGCGGUAAUUC